rnacentral:rRNA from 1 species
GGAGUUAAGAAAAUGUAAGUGUGCUAAUACCACAUUUAUUUGACGAAGGCUCCAAAGGAAGCCACGGCUAACUCUGUGCCAGCAGCCGCGGUAAUACAGAGGUGGCAAGCGUUGUUCGGAAUUAUUGGGCGUAAAGAGCACGUAGGUGGGUUUGUAAGUCAGAUGUGAAAGCCUUCUGUUCAACGGAAGAAUUGCAUCUGAAACUGCGAGUCUUGAGUGUAGGAGGGGAGAAUGGAACUUCUGGUGGAGCGGUGAAAUGCGUAGAUAUCAGAAGGAACGCCGGCGGCGAAAGCGAUUCUCUGGCCUAUUACUGACGCUCAGUGUGCGAAAGCUAGGGGAGCAAACGGGAUUAGAUACCCCGGUAGUCCUAGCCGUAAACGAUGGGCACUAAGUAGAGGGAAUUACCGAUGUUCUCUCUGCCGUAGCUAACGCAUUAAGUGCCCCGCCUGGGGAGUACGGCCGCAAGGCUAAAACUCAAAAGAAUUGACGGGGGCUCGCACAAGCGGUGGAGCAUGUGGCUUAAUUCGAUGCAACGCGAAGAACCUUACCGGGGCUUGACAUGGUAGAAGUAGGAACCCGAAAGGGUAACGAACGGUAUCCAGUCCGUAACUAUCACAGGUGUUGCAUGGCUGUCGUCAGCUCGUGUCGUGAGACGUUGGGUUAAGUCCCCUAACGAGCGAAACCCUUGUUUUUAGUUACCAGCGGGUUGUGCCGGGUACUCUAGAAAGACUGCCGUCGUCAAGACGGAGGAAGGUGGGGAUGACGUCAAGUCAUCAUGGCCCUUAUGCCCCGGGCUGCACACGUGCUACAAUGGUCGGUACAAACGGAAGCGGAGCCGAGAGGUGAAGCGAAUCCUAAAAAGCCGAUCUCAGUCCGGAUUGGAGGCUGAAAUUCGCUUCCA